UACGGAGGGUGCAAGCGUUGUCCGGAAUUACUGGGCGUAAAGGGCGCGCAGGCUGCGCGUCGAGUCGGCUGUGAAAGAUCCGGGCUCAACCCGGUGAAGCGGUCGAGACCGACGUGCUGGAGUGCUGCAGAGGCAAGUGGAAUUCCCGGUGUAGCGGUGAAAUGCGUAGAUAUCGGGAAGAACACCGGUGGCGAAGGCGACUUGCCGGGCAGCAACUGACGCUGAGGCGCGAAAGCCAGGGGAGC
rnacentral:rRNA from 1 species